rnacentral:lncRNA from 1 species
CUCCAGUACAGUAGGUGGCGGUAAUGCACCAUAACGCCGAUAAACCCCACAGAAGAAGAGUAACUUCAGGUCCACCUCCUCUGGCUCACAGGUGUCUUCUCACCUGCCCUAGUCGUCAAUGGACAAAUGCUGUAGCAAGGAUCAUGCUGGGGAAAAGUCUAGUAGCUUUAGUCUUUCUAAUUUGUUGCAUCGUUGGAACCGAGAACAAUAAAGAUAUUUUCAAUGGACAAACAUCUAAACUUUCCAGCUACACGAUUGUAAAGCCUCAGCUUAUUCACAGGAGAUGGGCAAGAGAUGCCGACCGACUUCCUGAAUCGGGGAAGACUGAAGAACCCGAUGAACGUUCUUAUUCACUGAUCAUUGACGACAAGGAACAUUUCCUCCAUCUUAAAAAGAACACAGAGUUUUUAUCCAAAAGCUUUGUUCAGUUUUCCCAUGAUGCCAGUGGGAAUCUGAUGUCUACAUAUCCUAAACCUGAUGUAAGUAGCAGAGAUGACAUUGGGUGGAUUGUGAGGGUAGACUCGGGUGGGAGGGGGACUGACAAGCUGGGUGGGGAGGGCUAGGCAGGAUGCGAGGGGUGGUGGGGGUUAUAUCUAUCUCUGUCUGUCUGUAGUUUGGACACACCUACUCAUUCCAGGGUUUUUCUUUAUUUUUACUAUUUUCUACAUUGUAGAAUAAUAUUGAAUAUAUCAAAACUAUGAAAUAACACAUAUGGAAUCAUGUAGUAACCAAAAAAGUUUUAAACAAAUCAAAAUAUAUUUUAUAUUUUCCAAAGUAGCCACCUUGAUGAGAGCUUUGUACACUCUUGGCAUUCUCUCAACCAGCUUCAUGAGGAAUGCUUUUCCAACAGUCUUGAAGGAGUUCCCACAUAUGCUGAGCACUUGCCGGCUGCUUUUCAUUCAUGUAUACAUGCAUACG